GAUGAACGCUAGCGACAGGCUUAACACAUGCAAGUCGAGGGGCAGCAUAAAAGUAGCAAUACUUUGGUGGCGACCGGCGCACGGGUGAGUAACGCGUAUGCAACCUACCUAUCAGAGGGGAAUAACCCGGCGAAAGUCGGACUAAUACCGCAUAAAACAGGGGCACCGCAUGGUGAUAUUUGUUAAAGAAAUUCGCUGAUAGAUGGGCAUGCGUUCCAUUAGGUAGUUGGUGAGGUAACGGCUCACCAAGCCGACGAUGGAUAGGGGAACUGAGAGGUUGGUCCCCCACACUGGGACUGAGACACGGACCAGACUCCUACGGGAGGCAGCAGUGAGGAAUAUUGGUCAAUGGGCGGGAGCCUGAACCAGCCAAGUCGCGUGAAGGAAGAAGGAUCUAUGGUUCGUAAACUUCUUUUGCAGGGGAAUAAAGUGCGGGACGUGUCCUGUUUUGUAUGUACCCUGAGAAUAAGGAUCGGCUAACUCCGUGCCAGCAGCCGCCGUAA
rnacentral:rRNA from 1 species